GGAGCAUGAUGUGAUAGGUACUUUGCAUGUGUAGAUGAUCUUAAGGUAACUGUGCAAUUAACCAGUUAAUUGAGCAAUACCUGUAAGGUGUAGAGGAGCCCUAAGUUCACCUUACUAGCACUGGGUGUGAUCCCUGCACUAUGCAUCUCUGCUGCCUUGAAACUGUCCCUCAUGAUCUGUUUCUCUCACAAGAUGAUCAUUUUGAUGCCGACUGACCUGCUUGUGAAAUCAGAAUAUCUGGAAGAAGAAAUACAGUGACGCAACCAGCACAGCAAGGAGUGAGGAGUGUUCACGGCUCCCCAGCAACAGCUACAAGGUCAUUCUUGUACUACCACAACUAUAUGUGUUUUAGAAAGAAUGCCACCAGAUUAGCACCAUGAUUCAGAUGGAAUUUGGACUCCACUUUUGACAUAUACUUUUGAAGAGAACAGGUGACCAUGGGGUAGGAUGAAAAGAUCAGCUGUUAAAGCCAUCAACUUUCUUGCUUUUCUUGCAUACAUAAUUUCAAUUAAAAAUGGUAGUCAAAA